UACGUAGGGUGCGAGCGUUAAUCGGAAUUACUGGGCGUAAAGCGUGCGCAGGCGGUUAUGCAAGACAGAUGUGAAAUCCCCGGGCUCAACCUGGGAACUGCAUUUGUGACUGCAGGGCUGGAGUGCGGCAGAGGGGGAUGGAAUUCCGCGUGUAGCAGUGAAAUGCGUAGAUAUGCGGAGGAACACCGAUGGCGAAGGCAAUCCCCUGGGCCUGCACUGACGCUCAUGCACGAAAGCGUGGGGAGCAAACAGG
rnacentral:rRNA from 1 species